rnacentral:rRNA from 1 species
UACGUAGGGACCGAGCGUUGUCCGGAAUCAUUGGGCGUAAAGAGCGUGUAGGCGGCCACUUAAGUCCUGCGUGAAAUCUUGCGGCUCAACCGCAAGCGGUCGUGGGAAACUGGGUGGCUAGAGUGCGGGAGAGGAGAGUGGAAUUCCUGGUGUAGCGGUGGAAUGCGCAGAUAUCAGGAGGAACACCGUGGCGAAGGCGGGACUCUGGGCCGAUACUGACGCUGAGGAGCGAAAGCGUGGGGAGCGAACAGG